rnacentral:rRNA from 1 species
UAAUACCGCAUAAGCGCACGGCAUCGCAUGAUGCAGUGUGAAAAACUCCGGUGGUAUAAGAUGGACCCGCGUUGGAUUAGCUGGUUGGUGAGGUAACGGCCCACCAAGGCGACGAUCCAUAGCCGACCUGAGAGGGUGACCGGCCACAUUGGGACUGAGAUACGGCCCAGACUCCUACGGGAGGCAGCAGUGGGGAAUCUUGGACAAUGGGCGCAAGCCUGAUCCAGCCAUGCCGCGUGAGUGAUGAAGGCCUUAGGGUCGUAAAGCUCUUUCGCCAGAGAUGAUAAUGACAGUAUCUGGUAAAGAAACCCCGGCUAACUCCGUGCCAGCAGCCGCGGUAAUACGGAGGAUGCAAGCGUUAUCCGG